rnacentral:rRNA from 1 species
AGCGAACGCUGGCGGCGUGCCUAACACAUGCAAGUCGAACGUGAAAGGGAGCAAUCCCCAGUCAAGCGGCUUACGGGUGAGUAACACGUAGGUAAUCUACCCCAGAAUCUGGAAUAACCGGCCGAAAGGCAGGCCAAUACUGGAUAGAGCGACGGAAUCCGUACUUGGGUUUUUCGGGAAAGGGAGCCUGUAUCAAGGCCUUCGUUCUGGGAUGAGCCUGCGUCCCAUCAGCUAGUUGGUGAGGUAAAAGCUUACCAAGGCAAUGAAGGGUAGCUGGACUGAGAGGACGGUCAGCCACACUGGGAAUGGAACACGGUCCAUACGCCUUCGGGAAGGAGCAGGGGGGAAACUUGCGGAAGGGGGGGAAAGCUGGACCAAGAACGCCGGGGGGGGGAAGAAAGCCUUCGGGUUGGAAAACUCGGUCGAGUGGGACGAAAAUGCUUGGGGUUCACAGCUACAGGGACUGACGGUACCACUAAAGGAAGCACCGGCUAACUACGUG